ensembl:lincRNA
UGCGCAGAGGCAGAGGCCGGAGAAGUAUGAGAGGGUAACUGAGGCCGACCUGCCCCGCCCCCGCUCUCAGCGCGGAGCUUCUCUGCCGCGCUGGGUCGGCCUCCGCUUCCCUUUCCGGGCGGAGAGGCGGCAGGCGCUGGUGUUUCUUUCUCUUCCCUACGCGGAGUCGCCUUCUGGAGCUUCCCAUGGCGAGCGUGGCAGCUCGGAUGAGCCGGGCCGCCCUGCAGCUCUGCGCCACAGUUCUUUUACUUGAUGUGGCCCUCUGUAAAGGAUUUGUAGAAGAUUUAGAUGAAUCGUUUAAAGAUAAUCGAAAAGAUGACAUUUGGCUUGUAGAUGUGAGUAUGUAAAUCUUUUAUGCUAAUUACCCACUCUUACCAUUUUAAGUAUUAUUUUCUAUUCAUUUAAAG